AGGACGAACGCUGGCGGUGUGCUUCACACAUGCAAGUCGAACGGGGUAGCAAUACCUAGUGGCGGACGGGUGAGUAACGCGUGGGAAUCUGCCUUAAGAUGGGGGAUAGCAAGCCGAAAGGCUUAUUAAUACCGCAUAUGUAUACGACGAGACAUCGUCAUAUAUGAAAGGAGCAAUCCGUCUUAAGAUGAGCCCGCGUCCGAUUAGCUAGUUGGUAAGGUAAAAGCUUACCAAGGCGACGAUCGGUAGGUGGUCUGAGAGGAUGAUCACCCACAAUGGGACUGAGACACGGCCCAUACUCCUACGGAGGCAGCAGUGGGGGAAUUUUUGUGCAAUGGGCGAAAAGCCUGACACAGCGACACCGCGUGAACGAAGAAGCCCUUUGGGUGUAAAGUUCUGUCGGCUGGAACGAAAAAAUGACGGUACCAGCAAAGGAAGCAUCGGCUAACUACGCGCCGGCAGCCGC
rnacentral:rRNA from 1 species